rfam:Perkinsus marinus ATCC 50983 gcontig_1104296760088, whole genome shotgun sequence.
GCCCGAUUAGCUCAGCUGGAUAGAAUGUCUGCCUACGGAGCAGAUGGUCGUAGGUUCGAAUCCUGCAUCGGGUA